rnacentral:rRNA from 1 species
UACAGAGGUCUCGAGCGUUGUUCGGAUUUACUGGGCGUAAAGGGAGCGUAGGCGGUUCGGUGUGUUGAAUGUGAAAUCCCACAACUCAACUGUGGAAUGGCAUUCAAAACUACCGGGCUAGAGUACUGGAGAGGAGAGCGGAAUUCUUGGUGUAGCGGUGAAAUGCGUAGAUAUCAAGAGGAACACCGGUGGCGAAGGCGGCUCUCUGGACAGAUACUGACGCUGAGGCUCUAAAGUUAGGGGAGCAAACAGGAUUAGAUACCCUGGUAGUCCUAACCUUAAACGGUGUACACUUGGUGUGCGAGGAAUUGUCCCUUUGCGCGCCGCAGCUAACGCGAUAAGUGUACCGCCUGGGGAGUACGGUCGCAAGAUUAAA